rnacentral:rRNA from 1 species
CCUGGUGGUUCUAGCGAGGAGCAUGAACCCGAUCCCAUCCCGAACUCGGCCGUUAAACUCCUCAGCGCCAAUGG